rnacentral:tRNA from 1 species
CUGCCGCUGGCUCAGGAGGGGCUCGAGGCCUGGGGUGCCACGGCCCAAGAGAUCGACCGGAUGCUCGGCAUCAUCGAGCAGCGGU